UAAAGCAAGAAAGGGCGUAUGGGGAAUGCCUAGGCACACUCCGGCGAAGAAGGACGCAGCAAACAGCGAAAUGCGACGGUGAGCGGUAAGCACGUGAAGAGCCGUCGAUAUCCGAAUGGGGGAACCCACACGGAGUCAUAUCCGUGUAUCACAUGUCGAAUACAUAGACAUGAUGAGGCGAGACGCAGGGAACUGAAACAUCUAAGUACCUGCAGGAAGAGAAAAUAAGAAUGAUUUUCUGAGUAGCGGCGAGCGAAAGGGAAAGAGCCCAAACCGAUUUUAGGAUCGGGGUAGUAGGAUCAUCGAGAAAUCUGACAGAGGAUCAUAGAGGAAUCACAUGGGAAGGUGAGCGAGAGAGGGUGAGAGCCCCGUACUCGAAAUGAGAGACUGGAGAGAGAUGACACCUGAGUAGGGCGGGACACGAGAAAUCCUGUCUGAAUCAGCCGGGACCAUCCGGCAAGGCUAAAUACGAGAGAGUGACCGAUAGUGAACCAGUACCGUGAGGGAAAGGUGAAAAGAACCCCGGGAGGGGAGUGAAAGAGAACCUGAAACCAUAUGCCUACAAGAAGUCAGAGCCCGUUAAAGGGUGAUGGCGUGCCUUUUGUAGAAUGAACCGGCGAGUUACUGUAUGGAGCGAGGUUAAGCAGGAUAUGCGGAGCCGAAGCGAAAGCGAGUCUUAAGAGGGCGAGAGUUGCAUGCAGUAGACCCGAAACCGGGUGAUCUAGCCAUGACCAGGUUGAAGUUGGGGUAAAACCCGAUGGAGGACCGAACCGACCCCCGUUGAAACGUUGGCGGAUGAGUUGUGGCUAGGGGUGAAAUUCCAAUCGAACCCGGAGAUAGCUGGUUCUCCCCGAAAUAGCUUUAGGGCUAGCGUCGAGGUAAGUUGCGUGAAGGUAGAGCACUGAAUAUGUGAUGGCCCCAUCUCGGGGUACUGAGCAUAAUCAAACUGCGAAUGUCACGCCAACAUGCUCGGCAGUCAGACAGCGGGUGAUAAGGUCCGUUGUCAAGAGGGAAACAGCCCAGACCAUCAGCUAAGGUCCCAAAAUGUAUGCUAAGUGGAAAAGGAUGUGGAGAUGUACAGACAACUAGGAGGUUGGCUCAGAAGCAGCCAUCCUUUAAAGAGUGCGUAACAGCUCACUAGUCGAAUGACUCUGCGCCGAUAAUUUACCGGGGCUAAGCAUACUACCGAAGCUAUGGAUCCCAAGGGAUGGUAGGGGAGCGUUCCAUGAACGGAGAAGUACGACCGAAAGGACGUGUGGAGAUCAUGGAAGAGAGAAUGCCGGUGUGAGUAGCGGAACGUGGGUGAGAAUCCCACGCACCGAAAACCCAAGGUUUCCAGAGGAAGGUUCGUCCGCUCUGGGUAAGUCGGGACCUAAGGCGAGGCCGAAAGGCGUAGUCGAUGGACAACAGGUAGAGAUUCCUGUACCCGUAUAUAUGUGAAGGAAUGACGGAGAGAGGAAGCUGCAGCCAGCGGCUGGAAGAGCUGGUGCAAGCGAGAUAUCGGGAUGGCAGGCAAAUCCACCAUCCGAAACGAGAAGGCGUGAAGCGUACGGAAAGCUACGGCGAGUACGGAAGGCAGUGGAGGAACUUCCAAGAAAAGUUUCUAACGUUAAGUAUAUAUGGCCCGUACCGAAAAUGGACACACAUGGGUGAGGAGAGAAUCCUAAGGUGAGCGAGAGAACUAUAGCUAAGGAACUCUGCAAAAUGACUCCGUAACUUAGGGAGAAGGAGUGCUCAUAGAGAUAUGAGCCGCAGUGAAACGGCCCAAGCGACUGUUUACCAAAAACACAGCUCUCUGCUAAGCCGCAAGGCGAAGUAUAGGGGGUGACGCCUGCCCGGUGCUGGAAGGUUAAGGGGAGGGGUUAACGCAAGUGAAGCCUUGAACUGAAGCCCCAGUAAACGGCGGCCGUAACUAUAACGGUCCUAAGGUAGCGAAAUUCCUUGUCAGGUAAGUUCUGACCCGCACGAAAGGCGUAAUGAUUUG
rnacentral:rRNA from 1 species